AUGACUAUUCUGAGAGUGUGUGUUUGCCAUUGGUGUGGUUCAAGAAGGAUAACAGAUAUGGUGCUUUUUUGCCCUUCAGCUUUUAUCUGUUUUUUUGUAUUAUUUUGCAUGUCAUCUGUGACUGCAGAGAGAACAUUAUUAUGCUCCUCAGAAAGUAUAGAUAUUUGGUACACUUUUGAUGGCCCACUGUAUUACCUGUCAAUGGAUGGUUUCCCUUGCAAACUAGGAGUGGAUAUGUACUCUGUAACUUAUAAAGUAAUCCCAAUGUUCACAAUCACUCGUGUUGGAUUUCAUGCUAUUAUUUAUUACAAAGGUCAGCUGUGGUUGGAUCAUGUGCAGCCAGAUAUUCCUUGUGAAGACCUCAAAUUAUGUUACAUCAUAAAAGGAGAAACACUUCAUGAGACUUUUCCAUUUUAUGUGAAAAAGUUUUUUGGCCCCGAGGGAGAGUAUCAGAUUAUCCUCACCAUAAACGUUGUUGAUGACCUUGAAAACAAACUGCCAAUACAAUUCAAUGUCACUUUAAAUGUGAAAAUCGAUGGCAAUAAGAAAAACAAAUUUUUUCCACAUCUGGAAGGGGUGUAGGACAAGCUUUAUUUAUUUUUCAAGUCAAAAUAUUUAUUCUGUAUUUUCGGUUCAGCUUUCUGACCAGAUCAAGUGAUCAUCACUAGCAAAUCCAUCUCAAAUGACGGAUAUUAACAUUGUUUGUAUGUAUAGUAUUUUGACACCAGGUAGAAUAUUUAAGAACAUUUAGAUUGAGCCAAAUGAUAAAGGCCGCCCCUUUAGCCCAAACAGCAGCCUGUCAAUUAGGAACUUGAUUCUUCUUCCUGGAUGCAUGGCACAUUAUCAGCUGCUGAGUAUUGUCAUUCAUUCCGAACGGCCUCCUGUUUGAAGUUUGGACAGACUGAAAUAGUUAAAGGAGGUUAAAAUAACAGCCUUAUCAACAGUCUCUGCCAUUAGCCGGGAGUAGCUCUCACUUAUUUAUUGUAAAUGUGUGUCUUGUGAGACAUUACCUGAUACUUGAUAACAGAAACACGAGUAACAACAUAAAGUAUAACUUAAAUGUUGUGUGCUAUGCUUAAUGAAUGCAUAUAUUAAUAAUCCGCAAGUAUAUAAAAACAAACAUGCCAAUACAGUGCUUAACAUUAUUUAUUUUAUUUACAAACAUAUCAUUAAUUUAGCAAACAUUCUGUAAAAACAGUAAUAUUGAGAAACUCAAUUACAAUUCAAAAACAGAUUAAAUCUGUUGUAAGUGUUUUAUGUUAUAGAACUUGAAAUUUAAUUGAUU
rnacentral:lncRNA from 1 species